GGCUGCAUGGCAUAGUGGUUUGAGUAUUGGACUAUGACUCUGGAGACCAGGGUUCAAAUCCCUGCUCUGUUU